rnacentral:lncRNA from 1 species
AACCUUUUCAUUAGCUUUGGCUGCACGUUUCUGGAUAAUGUCAAUAUCAAUAUUUGUAAGUACUCUUAUGAACUCAUAUGAUGCAUCUCCCACUUUUUUUUAUCUGCAAGGUACCUGACAUAGUGUUUGGACAGACUUAUUUCUGGUAGUAACUUCUCCAUUGUGAAACUACUUUCCACUACAGUAGCUUGCGGACAAUGUGGGCUACUACAAGACCGAGACCUGCAUAGAUGAUUACAUUUAGGAGUGAAUGGUAAAGAAGGUUCUGAUUUUGUUUAAAUUACAGUAUAUGUUUGAAAAUUAUUUAUUGAUGCUCAAAGAAUAUCCUGUAGAUGAUUAUGUGGAAAAUAGUUCAUCCUUCACAGUUUUCUCGGCAAGCUGGAACUUCCAGUUAUACUGGUUGUAUAUUUAUGGGUUAUAGACUUAUAGUUGAAAUUUUCAAAUGAUUAGAUAUUUUUGUAGUUGUAGUUGGAUAUACAAGUGCCUAAAAACUGAAGUCGGCACUUCUUCACUAGAAGCUAUGUUCACUAGCUUGAUUUCUCCUAUGAGAUGUAGAAUUUUUAUUUCCGCUAGAUUGUUGUAGUUUCCUUUUUUGCUGUAGCUGCUUAUCUAUCAGAGUAUCUAUGCAUGUGUGGGUUUAUGUUUCACUAACUGCCCUAUAAAUAAUCUGAAUUUCUUUCAAUCGAUUGAUUGUUUUGUAAUUUUCAAUCCAUGUCCCACAGCAUAGUUCCUCGACACCGGGUCAAUCCUGGUUUAUGAAAAAAUCAGGACUCUGAACCAUGCAGUCUACUCAUAGUGAACCACAUGUCUGAACCAUGCAUUCUUAACCCGGUCAACCAUGUUUUGCCCGUGGUGAACCAUGGGGUCUGAACCAUGCUGCCUGAACCAAAUCGACCGUAUAUCUCCGUAGGUCGUUGAAAUAUGAGUCGGACCAUGUCUUAAGAUUGUGGAAAUGUGAGACGAACUAGGAAGUGAGAACUAUGAAAAAAAAUCACAUCAGGAGCACAGUCGUGGAUAGUGAUCAACAUAUUAUUAUUCUAGGUGACCCAAUAUUCUUGGUUAUAAUGAAGGACUAAAGAGGGUCCAAUUUAUGUGCAGGUGAAGAAAAUCACCAAAAUGGAAGGAGUUCUGUAUUAUGAUCUAUUACAAUGUGCUUGAAGCAAUACAGAACCAUGAUUAUACUUGGUAUAGUACAAACUAAAUGUACAAUACAGACUUCCAAGUAGAAUCUUUGGCCUACAGCUCACCUGUUAUCUGUCACUUUAGCAGUUACUUGGGUGGGACAACCAAUGUAUAGAUAAGAAAUGCCGAAAC